GACGAACGCUGGCGGCGUGCCUAAUACAUGCAAGUAGAGCGAUGAAGAUUGGUGCUUGCACCAAUUUGAAGAGCAGCGAACGGGUGAGUAACGCGUGGGGAAUCUGCCUUUGAGCGGGGGACAACAUUUGGAAACGAAUGCUAAUACCGCAUAACAACUUUAAACAUAAGUUUUAAGUUUGAAAGAUGCAAUUGCAUCACUCAAAGAUGAUCCCGCGUUGUAUUAGCUAGUUGGUGAGGUAAAGGCUCACCAAGGCGAUGAUACAUAGCCGACCUGAGAGGGUGAUCGGCCACAUUGGGACUGAGACACGGCCCAAACUCCUACGGGAGGCAGCAGUAGGGAAUCUUCGGCAAUGGACGAAAGUCUGACCGAGCAACGCCGCGUGAGUGAAGAAGGUUUUCGGAUCGUAAAACUCUGUUGGUAGAGAAGAACGUUGGUGAGAGUGGAAAGCUCAUCAAGUGACGGUAACUACCCAGAAAGGGACGGCUAACUACGUG
rnacentral:rRNA from 1 species